UUUAUUUAUACAAUAUAUUUUUGUUAUCUGUGUUAAAGAAAAUGUAAGUUGUGUUCUGUUGGAAUGGGAGAAGUUUGGUACGCUUCUUUGUGGUGUUUUGUUUCACCCACUACCUGUGAACAUGGUCGGCCUGGCGGGUUGUCUAAGCCGGCCCACCAAUGUACUGUGGGUUGUUGUGUUGGGUGGUCCUCUGUGCUACAGGUUAGUUGUGUUUAUUUAUAUACCUUGUGCUGUGAAUUAGUAUACUGUGGUGAAGGUUACAAGCAAAGGAUGUGUUUAGUAGCUAAGGUAAUACAAGUGAUAUUAUUGUUUGCCAGACGGAGAAUGUAGGGACGCCCUGGACUUCAUGUCGGUUGGUGUGUUGGUUGGUCCUCCGUGCUACAGGUUAGUUGUGUUUAUUUACCCGCCAUGUGCUGUGAUUAGUAUAAUUUGGUGAAGGUUACAAAUAGAGGAUGUAUUAGUAAGAUAGGGUAAUGUACAAGGGAUAUAUUGUUGCCAGACAGAGUUGUGAGGACGCCCUGGACUGGAUGAUAGUUGGGGUGGUGACAUGUCAGGUGUGCUACGGGGAUUCGAAGAGCGUCAGUGUGGGCCACUGAAGUCGAAACACUUCAAGCAAUAAACACCUGUUACGAUUUGUGGUUUAUUACACAUUUGGAAUCCCCAACACUAGAUGCCUACAUAAAAUAUUGCAGAUCAUUAGCUGCAAGGUGCUGUGACCCUGAUUGCCUGGUCUUUCCAAAUAGACAGUCUGAGAUGGAAAAGGGUUGCUGUACAAAAAGGAGUUUCUCAUUGCUGUCAAAGGCUAUUUCAAGAACAACAAACAAAAACAAUGUGCCUCAUACAAUAACCUCAAGAAUACUGAGGUGUAGCCAAAUAACAGCACUUUGGGAAACUAAUGAAGAUCCUGCCUGACGGUCUAAGGUGGCAGAACAAUGCUGCCAUUCACUGGAGACCGACAGACGUUACUAUGAAUUUUCCUCAAAGGUAGAUCCGAGAAGACAUGUUGUGGACACACUUCGAACUUUGAGAAAGGGGACCAGAGAAAAGUCUUCUUCUUUGCUGGUAGUACCUCCCUUGCAAGAAUCAGGGGUGGACUCCCCUGAUGAUGAUGAUGAUGAUGGCGAAGAUGGCGGAAAAUCAAGAGCCUAACCAGCAGCAGCAACAGCUGCAGCAGGAGAAUCCUGGGCCAGAACCUCCCCUUAGCAUCUAUUCCUCCGGACAGCCAUGAGUAAGAGUGUUUAAGAGUGCAAUGCAACGCAAAUUCCUCAAGAGAUUUAUCCUCAGAAAAAAAAAAAAAACAUCCCUCUUCCAGGAGUGAGAUGACCUCUAUGGGAACCAGUCAUCUGCCAGACGACAUUAGCGUUGGCACCUUAGGUACAACGGCAGAGGCAGCCAGCAGCUUUGAGGAAUCAACAGUUGACCAGUCCAUCUCAUCUUAAGAGUUUUUCAGUGAUGUCCACCGCAUUAUAAGAAAAUGUAACAGGAGCA